CACCAGGUUGAUUCUGCCUGACGUGUGUGCUUGUCUUGAGGACUUAGCCAUGCAAGCUGGCGAAGCAAGUAGUGGAGCGGCGGACGGCUCAGUAAUACUGUAAUGAUUUACGCGCGACGGACGGAUAACCGUGGUAAGCUAUGGCUAAUACGUGAAGGGCUACUCCGGUGAGAUGGAGUAGAGGAUGAGGAAGCGGUAGCGGCUAAGUUUCAGGCCUAUCAGCUUGGAGGUAGGGUAAAGGCCUACGUUGGCGAUGACGGGAGACGGGGGAUGGGAGUCCGGUACCGGAGAGGGAGCCUGAGAAACAGCUCCGACGUCUAAGGAUGGCAGCAGGCGCGAAACUUACCCAAUUCCUUUGGGAGAGGUAGUGAAGAGACGUGGCACUAGUGCGCGAGCGAGAAGGUAACAGGAUCACGGGAGACUGGAGGGCAAGUCUGGUGCCAGCAGCCGCGGUAAUUCCAGCUCCAGGGGCGCACAUAUUGGUUGCUGCAGUUAAAGCGUGCGUAGUUGGCUGCAGAGGUGGUGAGGAAAGAGUGCUUCUCAAAGGGGCGAUUAGCACGGCACUCUGCGGAGAGAGGAACAGACGAUGGGUGCGGUAUUCUGCGGCGAGAGGUGAAAAUUGUAGACCUGCAGGGGACGAGCUGAGGCGGAGGCGGCAGCCAGGGAUGUAUCCGUUGAUCAAGGACGUAAGCCGGAGGAUCGAAGAUGAUUAGAGACCGUCGUAGUUCCGGCUGUAACGAUGCCGACAAGGCUGGGUGAGGUAUUGCCUGGGCUUUGAGAAUCAGAGUUUUCGGGCUCUGGGGAUAGUACGGUCGCAAGACAAAACUUAAAGAAAUU
rnacentral:rRNA from 1 species